rnacentral:rRNA from 1 species
AUGGCAGGCAAUGAAAAUGCCCCAGCGGGAGUCACGGCGGGGGAGCUUGCUGCUGUUUUGCAGGCGAUGGAUGAGAAGUAUCGGGUGUUGUUUGAUGCAAUUAACAAGCAAGCAGGGAACUCAAGAUCAGAAGUGGAGAUCAAAGAAGAGGUACAUCCUUUGCAAAUGCCCCAUGUAGAAUUAGAAGGGCCUGAGAGUUAUGUGAGUUGGGCAGAGCAUACAGAGACCAUUUUGGUUUCUAGGAAGCUUGAAGAUUAUAUUUUAGGCAUGGUGGAGAAGCCUGCAGAUGAGAGUUCCAAAGAAGGCCAGCAGUGA